GACGAACGCUGGCGGCGUGCUUAACACAUGCAAGUCGAACGGAAAGGCCCUGCUUUUGUGGGGUGCUCGAGUGGCGAACGGGUGAGUAACACGUGAGUAACCUGCCCUUGACUUUGGGAUAACUUCAGGAAACUGGGGCUAAUACCGGAUAUGAGCUCCUGCUGCAUGGUGGGGGUUGGAAAGUUUCGGCGGUUGGGGAUGGACUCGCGGCUUAUCAGCUUGUUAGUGGGGUAGUGGCUUACCAAGGCUUUGACGGGUAGCCGGCCUGAGAGGGUGACCGGCGACAUGGGGACUGAGAGACGGACCAGAAGCCUACGGGAGGCAGCAGGGGGGAAUAUUGCACAAUGGGCGGAAGCCUGAGGCAGAAACGCCGCGUGCGGGAUGACGGCCUUCGGGUGGUAAACCGCUUUCGCCUGUGACGAAGCGUGAGUGACGGUAAUGAGUAAAGAAGCAACGGCUAACUACGUG
rnacentral:rRNA from 1 species